AAGGAAAAAAAAAACCAAAAAAGAGAACAGUUCAGUUACAGAUAUGUAAGUCCCAAAUCCUGCAAGCAACACUGGUAUUACAAAAUCUUUGUCUUCAGCCAGAAAAUAUAGCAGUAACUUCAGUGCUUUUACACCAGAUUUAUGCUGCUGCCUUCCUCUUUUACCAAUUCAGGUGAUUAUUAGAGGGUUCAGGCAUAAAAGUGCGAGACUUUAACUUAGUGAAGUAUCAACAAAUUACAUCCAUAGCCUUAUUCCUAACCUACAAGUACUCUAAAUACCACUCCUUCCCUGAAAAAACAAAGACAUCUCUGUCUCUGUAUCCUUCACUCCUGAGGCAAUGAACAUCAGAUCCUGUUAGUCUUGGCAUAGGGAUGGAAAUCCAUAGUGACAAUUUUCCAAGUUCAGUUGCAAAGGAAGCUCCAGCAGCUGAGCCCUUUUGUUUUUCUGCAGGGAACGACUGCUGUGGUGAAGAACUACAACAAAAACCUAUUUUGUACCUUUUUCCUGUGUUCCAGAGAGUUUGCACUUCUUCUGGCUGAGAGGACAGCUUGUCCAUGAUGCCUUUUAUACAGCAGCGAUUGGUGCAAUAUCCGUGAACACUGGAAGCAGAAACUCAGAGAGAACAACCCUCUCCAUGGCCAUGGCUGAAACCCAGGGCUGAGGCAGGAUGGAAGUCUGAGAAAGCCAACUCAAGGCAAAAACAUCUACAGAACUGCAGGGAAAGGCUGUACUCGUCUCCAGCGAAAUUCCCGGCCCCUCACAAAGAUCCCACCGCUCUCCCUCACACACAUUCGGUGGAAUCCUGGAACUCCGAAGGACGCACACAGCCACCCCUCCGACACCACUCGUGUGCCUUUCCCACAGCCCCCCCAGAGCCCUGCUGG